rnacentral:rRNA from 1 species
GGGCCCGCACAAGCGGUGGAGUAUGUGGUUUAAUUCGACGCAACGCGAAGAACCUUACCAGGCCUUGACAUCCCUUGCAAAGCUGUAGAGAUACAGUAGAGGUUAUCAAGGAGACAGGUGGUGCAUGGUUGUCGUCAGCUCGUGUCGUGAGAUGUUGGGUUAAGUCCCGCAACGAGCGCAACCCUUGCCUUCAGUUACCAGCAUUCAGUUGGGGACUCUGGAGGGACUGCCGGUGAUAAACCGGAGGAAGGUGGGGAUGACGUCAAAUCAUCAUGCCCCUUAUGGCCUGGGCUACACACGUACUACAAUGGCUGUUACAACGUGCAGCGACCUAGCGAUAGGAAGCGAAUCACUAAAAGACAGUCUCAGUUCGGAUUGAAGUCUGCAACUCGACUUCANNNNNNNNNNGCGGAUCAGAAUGCCGCGGUGAAUACGUUCUCGGGCCUUGUACACACCGCCCGUCAUACCAUGAGAGCUGGUAAUACCCGAAGCCGGUGGCCUAACCGCAAGGAAGGAGCCGUCGAAGGUAGGACUAGUGAUUGGGGUCAAGUCGUAACAAGGUAUCCCUACGAGAACGUGGGGAUGGAUCACCUCCUUUCUAAGGAGA